rnacentral:ncRNA from 1 species
UAAUUAUCUUUGAUGUAAAUAUGAAAAACAAAGCAUUAAAUAUUUGGUGGUGGAUCUCGCAACAGUAACGUCGUGAACAAACCUUGUAUUUAAAAUUCAAAUAAAGAAAGGCCUGUC